GGGCAGAGCCAAGGGGGCUGGCGCAAAAGAAAUUGAAAUAUUUGAAAAUUUUGGAGAUAAUGACAACGAUGAAGAUGUUCUCUUAACCCCAUCUCGUUCCCACGUAUCAGUCUUCAUCUCUUUCCCUCGUGCACUGGCACAGAGCCAAGGGGGCUGGCGCAAAAAAAUUGAAAUAAUUGAAAAUUUUGGAGAUAAUGACAACGAUGAAGAUGUUCUCUCCCAGGCCUGUUUGUGCUUUAGUUUCAGUCUCAGUUUCAGAUCUCUCUUCCAUUUCCCUUUCAACAAUUUCAUUUGUAAUUUAAGUGGACCAUACCUUGGGACCCUGUACUAAAGGACCGACAGUGGAAUGCCUAUUUGAUUGUUCUCUUGGUGCUACCGAUUAUUCAAAGGCCAUGCUCGUUUGCUGAUGCAGAUGUUUUAUAUUUGAGAUGACACAUAUGCAUAAUGAAUUCAUUUUUUGAGGUGCAGACUUUAUGUGAGAGGGGGAUGACAAAAUCUGCCCAAGUAAUCAGUAAUAAUUUUUCAAAAGAAACAUAGCAAACAGGGAAAGGGACAGCAACACUGGGCCAAUUCUUCUUGUUCCAAAUUUGCUGAUUCAAAAGAUUCUGGACUUCAAGAUUGAACAACCUCAAAAGAAAGAGCCAAGCAGAAAUUGAACAGCAAAUGAGAUAUAUUUUAGGCAAACAACUCUCAUUUAAUUUAGGCAUAUAUUUGGAAUAGCUAGACCAGAAUAACUGGUUCAUCUGGAUCGAUGGUGUCUGGUCCCUGUACUAUUAGUACUAAAACUUGUAAUUGUAGUUGGCUCUUAUAAAGAAUUGGAUAGCUCCACUUGUAAUUGGUAUAUGUAAACAUGUUGCCAUUAGGUCACAGAAGUAGAAUAGGUGUGUGUUAAGACUCUAUUACUUGUAAUUGGUUCAA